CCUACGGGGCGCAGCAGUGGGGAAUAUUGCACAAUGGGGGGAACCCUGAUGCAGCGACGCCGCGUGGGUGAAGAAGUCAUUCGUGACGUAAAGCCCUAUCAGCAGGGAGGAACAAUGACGGUACCUGACUAAGAAGCACCGGCUAAAUACGUGCCAGCAGCCGCGGUAAUACGUAUGGCGCAAGCGUUAUCCGGAUUUACUGGGUGUAAAGGGAGCGCAGGCGGCGCGUUAAGCCUGGUGUGAAAGCCCGCGGCCCAACCGCGGGACUGCAUUGGGAACUGGCGCGCUGGAGUGCCGGAGGGGUA
rnacentral:rRNA from 1 species